AUCUUCCUAGUUGCCACCGACCAUUCUCCAAUCACGCAACCACUUUCACUUUGAUAUCCAUCUCUGACUUUCACUGCCGCUUUUCGCUUGCGUAAUCGUAGUAGCCGGCAGGUGAAAGCUGAGAAAAGAAACGCUGCGAAAAAAAAACGUUCAAGGUUUUUGCAGACCACCAUCAGGCUUCUUGGGUGGUGUUCGUUUUUUGAAA
ensembl:ncRNA F13H6.20 ncRNA